rnacentral:rRNA from 1 species
UCCCCAGGCGGAGUGCUUAAUGCGUUAGCUGCAGCACUAAGGGGCGGAAACCCCCUAACACUUAGCACUCAUCGUUUACGGCGUGGACUACCAGGGUAUCUAAUCCUGUUUGAUCCCCACGCUUUCGCACAUCAGCGUCAGUUACAGACCAGAAAGUCGCCUUCGCCACUGGUGUUCCUCCAUAUCUCUGCGCAUUUCACCGCUACACAUGGAAUUCCACUUUCCUCUUCUGCACUCAUGUUUUCCAGUUUCCAAUGACCCUCCACGGUUGAGCCGUGGGCUUUCACAUCAGACUUAAAAAACCGCCUACGCGCGCUUUACGCCCAAUAAUUCCGGAUAACGCUUGCCACCUACGUAUUACCGCGGCUGCUGGCACGUAGUUAGCCGUGGCUUUCUGAUUAGGUACCGUCAAGAUGUGCACAGUUACUUACACAUAUGUUCUUCCCUAAUAACAGAGUUUUACGAUCCGAAGACCUUCAUCACUCACGCGGCGUUGCUCCGUCAGGCUUUCGCCCAUUGCGGAAGAUUCCCUACUGCUGCCUCCCGUAG